GGGGGUGUUCCGGAUUCGAUUUUAAUCAAGAGGGCGCGAUGGCACGCGGAGGAUGAUGCUUGGCCUCCCUAAUCAUGCAUCGCCACGAUAACUGGCAAAACAAACAACGUAAUCGCCUUUGAGCGUAACAGCUCACUGGCGCUCGCGGCCUGAGUCCGCGACGGUCACCGCAACCCACUCCUGCUAAGUUGCCGGGCCGUCUAAAAAGCAGGAAAAAGCUCCGGUUUCGCAGCGGUUUUGGAGUUGAAAUAAAAACCUUUGCUGGACGACGCGGGCGCCUCCGCCCAACCGCCGUCAAGAUCCAAUCGGAAGGCUAAGCGUGUAGAUGUCGUGUUCAAUGGAUUGAAAGACGCGGGUUCAAUUCCCGCCACCUCCACCA
rnacentral:sRNA from 1 species